rnacentral:lncRNA from 1 species
GGCCCUGUAAGGUGUGCUGCCCUCUUCUUUCUGAGAUCUAAGGAUCUUUCUAGGAAAACUGUAUGGAUUGAAUGGAUUGAAGAAAGAACAAGACUGGAAACAGAAAAAAUAUCUUCUGCCAAAAGUAUUUUGAAAACCAAAGUGAUUUGCCUCUACUUGAAAAAUCAACUUCUAAAUUACACUCAAAAGGUGCCUUGUUGUGAACUGCCCUAUGGAUAGAAACACAUGGUAACUUUGAUGCCUCUGGAUAGCAGCAAGUAUGCACUUAAAGCCUGCCAAAGUCCAUGUGAAGAAGCAUGGAAGUGGAUUAUCUUCCAAACACUCACUGACAUGGCUACAGCCUCACCCGACACUUUUACUGCAGUCUUCUGAGAGAUACUCCCUAAGCCAGGGGAUCCAGCUAAGCCAUUCCAAGAUUCUUGACCUAUAGAAACUGCAGUAUAAUAAAUGUUUGUUUUGCUAAGCCACAAAGUUUUGGGGUGAUGUUUUAUAUAAC